rnacentral:rRNA from 1 species
UACGGGGGGGGCAAGCGUUGUUCGGAAUUAUUGGGCGUAAAGAGCUCGUAGGCGGCCUGUUGCGUCCGCUGUGAAAGCCCGGGGCUUAACCCCGGGUCGGCAGUGGAUACGGGCAGGCUAGAGGUAGGUAGGGGAGAAUGGAAUUCCCGGUGUAGCGGUGAAAUUCGUAGAUAUCGGGAGGAACACCGGUGGCGAAGGCGGCGAUCUGGGUAGAUACUGACGCUGAGGUGCGAAAGCGUGGGGAGCAAACAGG